rnacentral:rRNA from 1 species
AUUGAACGCUGGCGGCAUGCCUUACACAUGCAUUUCGAACGGCAGCGGGGGAAAGCUUGCUUUCCUGCCGGCGAGUGGCGAACGGGUGAGUAAUACAUCGGAACGUGCCCUGUAGUGGGGGAUAACUAGUCGAAAGAUUAGCUAAUACCGCAUACGACCUGAGGGUGAAAGUGGGGGACCGCAAGGCCUCAUGCUAUAGGAGCGGCCGAUGUCUGAUUAGCUAGUUGGUGGGGUAAAGGCCUACCAAGGCGACGAUCAGUAGCUGGUCUGAGAGGACGAUCAGCCACACUGGGACUGAGACACGGCCCAGACUCCUACGGGAGGCAGCAGUGGGGAAUUUUGGACAAUGGGCGAAAGCCUGAUCCAGCAAUGCCGCGUGUGUGAAGAAGGCCUUCGGGUUGUAAAGCACUUUUGUCCGGAAAGAAAUGGCUCUGGUUAAUACCCGGAGUCGAUGACGGUACCGGAAGAAUAAGGACCGGCUAACUACGUGCCAGCAGCCGCGGUAAUACGUAGGGUCCAAGCGUUAAUCGGAAUUACUGGGCGUAAAGCGUGCGCAGGCGGUUGUGCAAGACCGAUGUGAAACCCCCGGGCUUAACCUGGGAAUUGCAUUGGUGACUGCACGGCUAGAGUGUGUCAGAGGGAGGUAGAAUUCCACGUGUAGCAGUGAAAUGCGUAGAGAUGUGGAGGAAUACCGAUGGCGAAGGCAGCCUCCUGGGAUAACACUGACGCUCAUGCACGAAAGCGUGGGGAGCAAACAGGAUUAGAUACCCUGGUAGUCCACGCCCUAAACGAUGUCAACUAGUUGUUGGGGAUUCAUUUCCUUAGUAACGUAGCUAACGCGUGAAGUUGACCGCCUGGGGAGUACGGUCGCAAGAUUAAAACCCAAAGGAAUUGACGGGGACCCGCACAAGCGGUGGAUGAUGUGGAUUAAUUCGAUGCAACGCGAAAAACCUUACCUACCCUUGACAUGCCACUAACGAAGCAGAGAUGCACUAGGUGCUCGAAAGAGAAAGUGGACACAGGUGCUGCAUGGCUGUCGUCAGCUCGUGUCGUGAGAUGUUGGGUUAAGUCCCGCAACGAGCGCAACCCUUGUCUCUAGUUGCUACGAAAGGGCACUCUAGAGAGACUGCCGGUGACAAACCGGAGGAAGGUGGGGAUGACGUCAAGUCCUCAUGGCCCUUAUGGGUAGGGCUUCACACGUCAUACAAUGGUGCAUACAGAGGGUUGCCAAGCCGCGAGGUGGAGCUAAUCCCAGAAAAUGCAUCGUAGUCCGGAUCGUAGUCUGCAACUCGACUACGUGAAGCUGGAAUCGCUAGUAAUCGCGGAUCAGCAUGCCGCGGUGAAUAAGUUCCCGGGUCU